CAGUGUUGUUUGCAUUGAAAAUCUCUUUUAUAAAUAGUUCUUGGACAACAGUAUUAGCAAAGUGUAGCAAAAUUGUCAAAACCCGAAACUAUGCUUAACUUUUGCACAAUACUUUAUCAGAGGAUGCUUGUGUAAAGUACCAAGGAAACUUUGCAUUUCUGAAAGAAUA
rnacentral:lncRNA from 1 species